UGUAUAAAAAAUAAAAUAAAGAGUAUGUACAUCAUAUAUUUAUAGGCAUAACCUUGUGAUACAAUCCUACUCCUAACGAGUUACGACUUACCAAAUGUACUCCUUCGACCUUAUCUUUUCGUCCAAAAAAAAAAAUACACUGUUUAAGUUUGCGGAGUUUGAUAGGGACAUAAACCUUGUUUUACCGGGUUGAGUACUCCGUAAUUGAUAUAGGAUUUUAUGUACACGGUAAUGUUCUUUGGUGCUUCUGGAACUUCUGGAAUUGCUCAUCUCUCUCUCUUUCAUACAAGGGGAGUAACUCAGCAGAAUCUAACUUCAUCGACCGAUGGAAAUCUUCGUCUCGAGGGGGUUUUCUCGGAUCGUUUGGAUGAAUCUGAUUAUUGUCGAAAAUUGUGUUCCUAAACAAAAUUGACAGCAUUCUUUGUCAAAGCAUCUCACAAACUUUCAACUCAUCUAUGAUGACUGCUAUUCGAUGCAUGUCUUCUGCAAAGCUUUUUGUUGGAGGUCUUUCAUUUGCAACUGAUGGCGCGGCUCAUUGAAGGACGCAUUUGCCAAUUUUGGUGAAUUAGUAGAUGCAAGGGUGUGAGAGAAACACCGAAAGGUCUAGGGGAUUUGGGUUUGUCAACUUUGCAGAUGCUGAAGCUGCAAACAGUGCAUUGUCUGCCAUGAAUGGCCAGGUUCUGAAUGGGCGUAACAUCCGUGUGAGUAUUGCAAAUGAGAGGACACCAGGUCCUCCACAAGGAGGAAGUUGUGGGUAUGGCGGUGGUGGAUAUGGAGGUGGCGGUAAUGGCAGCACUUUUGUGGCAGCUCCUGGAUUGACAAGGCAUGUGCAAUCACUUCAGUGGUGGCCAAUGUUGAAUUCCAUUAUGCCUAUGAAGAAAUAGAUGAAGUGCAAGCAUCCAACACCCUGGAGUGAGUUUGAAAUGGGGAAUGAUUAAUGAGUGCUUAAGGAGGUAAGAGAGAUGCUCGGAUGAAGUCUGAUCCUGCAAGGUGGAAGCCGAGGAAGAAUUCUAUGAAGACAUACCCUGUCAUUUAACGGAUUGGACUUACUGUAUUUAUUUUAUUUUAUGUAUCAUAAUCUGUAAUCUUUUGCAAAAUUUCACUUUUUUUUUAGGGGAUAAGGAGCAGGCUCGGUUUUAAUGGUUUAAAGCCUUAAACUAUUUAUGAUUGAGCUAGCAGUUCAACUGAAGUUUGUUCAUUAGAAGCAGUGCGGAUUACUACGUAUAUUAAUUUCUCCUUUGUUUUAUUGGCUCUCAAAUCUAUGUCAACAGACUUUUACUGGGGUUCCACCUAUUUUGAUACAUGUAUGGAAUAACUUUGUAAUUUUCGUUAUUGCAAUGUUGAGGUUUUAGCACAAUUUAUAAGGUGUUUGCAAUUAGUUUAGUUUUUUAAGUUUUAAACAAUCAUUAUUGGAUGCUUUAAAAUGUAAUCUUAUUUAAAUUUUGUAAAGUUUAAUUAUAUUUGAAGUGUAAGUGUAGUGUGUAACCCAUUGUGAAAA